rnacentral:rRNA from 1 species
GAUGAACGCUGGCGGCGUGCCUAAUACAUGCAAGUCGAGCGAACGGACGAGAAGCUUGCUUUUCUGAUGUUAGCGGCGGAUGGGUGAGUAACACGUGGAUAACCUACCUAUAAGACUGGGAUAACUUCGGGAAACCGGAGCUAAUACCGGAUAAUAUUUUGAACCGCAUGGUUCAAAAGUGAAAGACGGUCUUGCUGUCACUUAUAGAUGGAUCCGCGCUGCAUUAGCUAGUUGGUAAGGUAACGGCUUACCAAGGCAACGAUGCAUAGCCGACCUGAGAGGGUGAUCGGCCACACUGGAACUGAGACACGGUCCAGACUUCUACGGGAGGCAGCAGUAGGGAAUCUUCCGCAAAGGGCGAAAGCCUGACGGAGCAACGCCGCGUGAGUGAUGAAGGUCUUCGGAUCGUAAAACUCUGUUAUUAGGGAAGAACAUAUGUGUAAGUAACUGUGCACAUCUUGACGGUACCUAAUCAGAAAGCCACGGCUAACUACGUG